CCUACGGGAGGCAGCAGUGGGGAAUAUUGCACAAUGGGGGAAACCCUGAUGCAGCGACGCCGCGUGAGUGAAGAAGUAUCUCGGUACGUAAAGCUCUAUCAGCAGGGAAGAAAAUGACGGUACCUGACUAAGAAGCCCCGGCGAACUACGUGACAGCAGCCGCGGUAAUACGUAGGGGGCAAGCGUUAUCCGGAUUGACGGGGUGUAAAGGGAGCGUAGACGGCAGCACAAGUCUGGAGUGAAAUCCCGGGGCUUAACCCCGGAACUGCUUUGGAAACUGUGCGGCUGGAGUGCAGGAGGGGUAAGCGGAAUGCCUAGUGUAGCGGUGAAAUGCGUAGAUAUUAGGAGGAACACCGGUGGCGAAGGCGGCUUACUGGACUGUAACUGACGUUGAGGCUCGAAAGCGUGGGGAGCAAACAGGAUUAGAUACCCGGGUAGUC
rnacentral:rRNA from 1 species